UUUGUAGACAAUAUGUAUCUGGUAUAAUAACUAAUAAAUAUUAAAUACAUACAGAUAUUGGAAAUCUACAUAGAUAAAUAUCAGUUGAGUUUCCAGAACUAUGAAUAUUCAUUUUAAUUGGAAUAAAUAAUAUGUAUUGGUAAUUAUGUGAAACUGGUUUGAAAAUGAUAAACGAAUUGAAGAGAUUUAACCUCUUGAGGCUACAAUUACAAAUAUUUAGAAAUUCCUAACAUUAAAAGAUCCGUGAAUGAUAAAACAAAUUAGCACCUGAAUAAAAUUGACUUGAGAACGACAGCUCUGGCAUAAAAAUGCAAAAAUAAUUCCCAUGAUCGAGUCGAGGCACAAAUCACUCGGCAAUGGCUCUGACGAUGAGACUGUCUGUGAGUCGGACUCGAACUCGAAAGCGAAGCGAAGCGAGUCGAAUCGAGUCGAAUCGAAUCGAAGCCGAAAAAUGCAAAUAGAGUGACAAUUUCCCAGCACGUUCAAACGGAGGCAAACUCAUUAAUUAAGUCAGCGAAUGAAGAACUAUCCGUCGUACUAUGGCCCCGUCCAGAACAGGCGACAACUCCAGCAAUUAACAAAUUUAUAAUUUCCAAACGUUUGCGACGAUGAGACAGCCGCCAGACGGGCAAUUGGCGACGGCGGCGAAUUAAAAUUACAGACAACACAAUGAAUAAAUAGAGAUACAUAUAGACAGAUAGAUGGAUGGAUAGAUGGAUCGAUAUACCCCCGAUAGAGUCUUGAACCGCACAAAUAAAUAAAGGUUCAAUUAUACGUCAUAAAAAAGCGUUAGAAACGUGAUUGAAAUCUGUGAGAAAUGUACUCGUAUUGGGAGAACGACAACUAACCAACUC